GGCGUGGCAUGGAGGCAAUCAGCCUGUGGCAUUGCUGAGGUGUUAUGGAUGCCCAUGAUGCUUCAAUAGCGGCCUUUAGCUCAUUUGCAUUGUUGGGUCUGGUGUCUUUCAGCUUCCUCUUCACAAUACCCCACAAAUUCUCUAUGGGGUUCAGGUCAGGGGAAUUGGCAGGCCAAUCGAGGACAGUAAUGCCAUGGGCAGUACACCAGUUACUGGUGGUUCUGGCACUGUGGGCAGGUGCCAGAUCAUGCUGGAAAAUGAAAUCCUCAUCUCCAUAGAGCUUUUCAGCAGACGGAAGCAUGUAGUGCUCUAAAAUCUCUUGGUACACAGCUGCAUUUACUCUGGACUUGAUGAAACACAGUGGACCAACACCAGCAGCUGACAUGGCUCCCCAAACCAUCACUGACUGUGGGAACUUCACACUGGAUUUCAAGCAACUUGGAUUUUGCUCCUCUCCAGCCUUUCUCCAGACUCUGGCGCCUUGACUUCCAAAUGAAAUACAACACUUGCUUUCGUC